UAGCCGCCGCCUUGCGCGAUGCUCCUCUGCUCGCGUCUCCCACCUUCUCCUCUCCCCCAAUCCCCUCUUCUCUCUCUCCCCCAAUCCCCAACUAGUGGAAUCUCUCAAGCCCCUCCAAUCCCCCAAGCCCCUCAUGCACCAAUCCCCUUCUCCUCCGUCACCCUAUCUCCUGGUCAUCUCCAUGGCUAGAGGAGGUAGAGUGGCAGCAACAGCGCCAUGGCUAGAGGAGGUAGAGUGGCUGGUUGCUGCCAGGAGGCAGCGCCGACUCACUUCAUUGAGAGGAGCGGUUGGUGGCCGACAGCCCGCCGCUCGCACCUUCACUGCGCGUCGUGCCGUCGCCGAGAGGAGCGGCCCGUGGAGCUUCUCCCGCCCUGCAGUUCUCCAAUGGGUUGUGCUGGAGAGCCUGGUAUCCUCCACCUCCUUACCUAGGUUGCCGUCCACCACCGCAACAGCCUGCCCUUGUCCGCCUCUUCUUCAAAGGAGCAACGAUGCUGGUGUGAUCUCUGAACAUAGCAGAUCUGGAGAGAUGGAGGCCCGAGCUGUGAAAAAUCAUAGUGAGCUGUGAAAAGAUUUUGUCAUUACUCAUACAAGUUAGUUCUUAUUUUUUCAGCUACCUAAUGCCACUUUAUUACAUAUUAGGCAGAGUCAUUUUUCAUUAUCAUCUACCGAGUGCACUAAAUUUCUUAGCCACGUGUCUUGUAUCAUGUGCAAGUGGAGCUUGUCUCUCCCCUCUUACAUUGCCUUCUUUCUUUCUCACAUUGCUGGGAUUCAGAAUGAACAUGCAGAUAAGCAAACCAAAACAUGAUUGAUUAUUUCCCCAUGCUAAAAAUCAUUUUGUACUGAUGGCAGCAAUUGCAUAUGAUACAUUUGGAGACUCAAAGAAAAUAUUCCCCUGCAUUUGGGAAAUUAAUGAACAAAACAAUCAAGUAUUGCUGUAGAUUUUUUUGGGACAUUUGACACUUACAAAAAAGUGGUUUAUUAUGCGGGGAGUUUGGAAUCAUCACUCAACCGGUUUCUUAAUGGGGCAUGUUUCAGAUCAUGUUUCUUUUCGAGGUGUUAGAAAAGAAAGUUCAAGUUUUUUAAGUGUCUGAUUUGUGGAUUUGUGUAGUAGAGACUUUCUGAGGCUAGAAGGUACAGUAUGUCUUUAUCUUGCCCAUUUAUUUUUGUUUUCUCUGUGUUCCUGCGACGGGUCAUGAGCUGAGAAUAAGAUAUUGAGUGAGUCCACUAUUAUGUUUGAUUUGGAUGGUUUACAGCCUUAGUUGAGGCAUUACUACAGAUGUAUGAGGGCAAAUGGGGCCACUUUCCAAGUGUCUUAUGCUUACAGAUUUUGGAAUGGACCAUCCUGAUAAACAGAAAUUUUCUCUGUUAUUUUUGUGUAAACAUGAUUUCAAAGCAUACAUUUAUCUAUCUCCAGCUGUGACACAAAAUAAGCUGCAAGCCAGCAAGAAUAUGCUUUAUUGUAUCUCCCUUCCUUGAUUUUUUUUCUUCUUUACCUAUGAUAUUUCUUUUGCAGUACCUGCUUUUGUUCCCGUGAAAUGAUUUCUCUGGGUGUGGUUGGGGUCAUUCUCUAGCCCCUCAUGUUUCUAAUUCAUGUUACAUUUCAGCUCCUCUAGGAUUAUAGCCAGCAAUGUACAGAGUAGAUGAAGAUAAAAACUUGUUUAUGAUGCAAAGGUUUUAGUGGACAUAUAAUUAGGUAUUUUAUUCCUUGGAAUUUUCGCUAAUUAGUUAUAUACUUCAUAUUCUGUACCUAGAUUGCACAUAUAAUUGAUCUGUUGGUUGCCUCUUUUGUUUAUUACCUAAAUAUAGCAUCGAAAACGCGUCCAAUAAGUAUAGCAAGCGCCCUUUCUGUUUAUUUUGCUUUGUUUUAGAGUAUGAAAUUAAAAGAGGAACCAGUAUGUUGUGAGAUCUUC